rnacentral:rRNA from 1 species
GACGAACGCUGGCGGCGUGCUUAACACAUGCAAGUCGAACGGUGAAGCCCUUCGGGGUGGAUCAGUGGCGAACGGGUGAGUAACACGUGGGGAAUCUGCCCUGAACUCUGGGACAAGCCUUGGAAACGAGGUCUAAUACCGGAUAUGACCUUCUCCUGCAUGGGGGUUGGUGGAAAGCUCCGGCGGUUCAGGAUGAUCCCGCGGCCUAUCAGCUUGUUGGUGGGGUAAUGGCCUACCAAGGCGACGACGGGUAGCCGGCCUGAGAGGGCGACCGGCCACACUGGGACUGAGACACGGCCCAGACUCCUACGGGAGGCAGCAGUGGGGAAUAUUGCACAAUGGGCGAAAGCCUGAUGCAGCGACGCCGCGUGAGGGAUGACGGCCUUCGGGUUGUAAACCUCUUUCAGCAGGGAAGAAGCGCAAGUGACGGUACCUGCAGAAGAAGCACCGGCUAACUACGUGCCAGCAGCCGCGGUAAUACGUAGGGUGCGAGCGUUGUCCGGAAUUAUUGGGCGUAAAGAGCUCGUAGGCGGCCUGUCGCGUCGGAUGUGAAAGCCCGGGGCUUAACCCCGGGUCUGCAUUCGAUACGGGCAGGCUAGAGUGUGGUAGGGGAGAUCGGAAUUCCUGGUGUAGCGGUGAAAUGCGCAGAUAUCAGGAGGAACACCGGUGGCGAAGGCGGAUCUCUGGGCCAUUACUGACGCUGAGGAGCGAAAGCGUGGGG